UGACAGCCUACCUGUUUUUCUUUGGUUAUGAGGAGGUGGAGGAGCCUAUAGCUGACGUUCCUGCAGGCUCUAACUGAGGCAGAGGAGAGGAUGAAGAGAGCAGAAGAUUUAAAAUGAUGAAGGAGACGGUGACUCAACUUCACUCAUCUGUGUCUUUAAACAAGAAAAACUAAGGAGCCAAAAUGAGGGCAGCAGGAAGGCAUGAAGGCAUGCAGGAACACAGGCUCUGUCUCUGUCCUCCACCUGUGCCUGAGGAAUGCGAGCGCAUCCUGGCCAGCUGUGACAGAGCAGACAGCACAGCCAGGAUGGAUCCUAAGCCAGUUUAUGUGGGCAGGUGGUGGAGGUAAAGCCAUGAUGACAAAAGAUAGGACAUGUCUUAAAUCCCACUAGAGCAAUACAAGUUUUUAUGGAAUGGAAGCUAUUAAUGAUUUACCGGUACUUGAAAUGCUGCUUUGUCACUUUUUGACUCGGAAGUAAAAAAAAAAAACAAAAGAAAAACAGCACUGGAUAUUGAUCAUAAAAGUGGCAAAUCUUCAGGCCGGCCUUAACUGGAUGAAAUGGCUGGAAACAUGCAUGUGGAUGGACGGACAGACAAAUGGACAGGGGCAGCAGGGGCUUUUAAAUCACAAUGUCGGGCUCAGGGGUCAAUGACUGACAGCCAUCAGCAAUGGAUGAUGCCCAACCCUGGAAAGGCACUGACUCAUAAUAUCUAACGUGUAUACCACAAUGAGCUACUUAGACAUUCAGAAAAUAUUAUUUGAAGACAAAAGAAAUAAGCUUAAAACAUAAAUCAUUAA